rnacentral:rRNA from 1 species
AUUGAACGCUGGCGGCAGGCCUAACACAUGCAAGUCGAAUGGUAACACGAUACAGCUUUCCGUUUCCCUGUGGCGUGGCGGGCGGGUGUGUAGUGUCUGGGGAACUGUCUGAUUGCGUGGGGUAACUACUAGGAAAGGUAGCUAAUACCGCACAACGUCGCAACACCAAAAAGCGGGGCCUCUUGGCACCUUGCGCUCAGGUGUGCCCCGAUGGGGGAUUAGCUAGUUGGGGGGGUAAAGGCUCACCAAGGCGACGAUCCCUAGCUGGUCUGAGAGGAUGAUCAGCCACACUGGAACUGAGACACGGUCCAGACUCCUACGGGAGGCAGCAGUGGGGAAUAUUGGACAAUGGGCGCAAGCCUGAUGCAGCCAUGCCGCGUGUAUGAAGAAGGCCUUCGGGUUGUAAAGUCCUUUUGGCGGGGAAGAAAGGAGGAAAGUUAAUACCUUGGCUCAUUGACGUUACCCGAAGAAGAAGCACCGGCUAACUCCGUG